GGCCGAGCCCCCGCUACUUUGCCUUUCGUUCCCCUUCUCCCCGGGUCGAACCGUGCCAAGGCGUCCUCACAGCGCCCCGCUCCAGGCAGUGCCAGGCCGGUCCCACAAUGCCCCGCGCCGGGCGGUACCGGUGGCCGUUGCCAGCCGCUGCCCCUCCGGAAGCGCUGCCUCGCUGGCACUGCGGAGUGCAAAAGGGGGAGAUCCAAGUCGGAAUUUUGUUUCAUAAAGGACUGAGACAAGCAGAAGCAUUGGUGUAAGCAGCCCCUGCUGAGGUGUUUGAGCAGCCAGUAUGUUAAAGUAGGCUCCAACUGGAUUACAAAAGGCAUCCCAAAACAGUAGAGUGGUCUAAUCCAAGACAAUUGGGUUUAAGUUUGUUGGCAAGCAGCAACCCCAGGGAGAAGCCUGCACUUCUGCAGUCAACAAUAAAUGCAAGGACAUUUGAUUUCUACAUCUGACAAAAUGGGUCUCAGGCUGGGCCAUGUUUUCACAGAACCAAGAAUUCAGUACUAGGGUAACUGCAGUACUUGGAAAACAGGACUAAGUUCAAAAAAUACAUGAUAAAAAAAAAGGUGAUAAGUAUUUAACUACUUCACUUUAAAUUUUUUCCCAUUGUUUUAAUACUUUUCAGCAUCACUUACACAUCUAAAUCUCUAAGCAAAAGGCAUCUAACUGGAUAUUUACUUCCCUCUUCCUUUCCCAGCAGGAUUUUAGUCCCCCCCUUUUUUCCUUCUCCCUACAAAAGAACGAGAACACCCAAUUUUCAGCUUGCUGCCUUUCCUGAGGUUACUAUGUGAGCUUUUGCUUGGCUAAUGGUGCCUCUCAGCUUACCUCAUGUUUGCUGUUUGUUUUUGGGCUCAGCCUGCAAUAGUAAUCAAGACUAAAUAUUUGCUCAAAUGAAGUGGCUCUGUGGUUCUCAUUCCAGGGAGCUGGAUGAGGACAAAGUGAAACUAGCUUGAAAUAUUCUAGUAUGCCCAAGAGAUGUGAGGAACAAGGGAUUUUUCCAGUGCUGUAGAAAGUCAUCCAGAUUCUCAUUGCAGCUUUGUUGUGGGAACUGCAGGGGAACUAACUCGUUUAUAGCCUGCCACAAUUAAAGACACCGCUUUUGUCUGCCAGAAACCAAAGUCGGUCCAGUCAAAGCCAACCUUUGGGACCAUUCUGUCAGGCCACAACCAGAAAGAAGACGCAAUGUGAAGUUACGCAAGCAUCCAUUCUCCCUCUUCUGCAAGACUGAAGCCCACAUUUUUCUGAUAAGAGGAGGCUACAUCCUUUGUGCUUGCAAGUCAGUGGCAGGUCUUACAAACACACCCACAGAUUCCCAGUGUAACAUAUUGCAAGCUCUGUGCAUCUGGAGCCAGUGCAUGCUUUGCUCAACAACCCCCCUUUCAUUUCUGCCAAGAUUCCCUCCCACAUUUGGGACUUCUUUCCUGCUCCCUUGAGAGCUUCUUCAAGCUUCCCAGCUCCUCCAACCUCCCACUGUCAGAGUGGACCAUUCUGUACAGCUUUGCCAGCGUGCUCUGCCUUUGGAAGCAUACAGGCCACUGCAGGAAGCUGGGCACAAAGAAUAUCCAUGCAUUGCCCUUGUUCUCAGCCGUCUUGUUUGGAUCAGAUGGGUGGACCAGAAGACUGAACUGACGGCUCCAGCACACAAGGCAGAGAAUUAGCCAGGACUUACUGAGGCAUUUGCUUUGUGGGAUGUGAGAAAAUACCAACAGAGAUGCAUAACUGUAUCACUGUGGGAAACCACCUUUUAGCUGAGUGGUAACACAGUCAUCAUCUUUUGCAUUUAUCAGAGCAUCAUUUCCUGGGAUUAUUCUGGAACAAAGGCAGCAACUCAUUGGGUAUCCCGCGUAUUUGCAUAACACAAAAUUCCUGUAAAAAAUCAGUAUCUCACUGAGGAGCAGCAGGCUGCUGAGCCACCCAGCUACAGGCUAGCACCUGCUCUGCAUAUUUCUCAGCUACCGAGAGACAGCAAAGUGUUAGAGGAAUCAAACCCACAGGACAAAGGUGCUCAGGAGCUGCUUCUGAAAUUCCUCUGCAUGAGGCAGCAGCUUGUGUUAGAUGAGGAUGUAGGGAGUCCUGCAAGCACUGCUGCCAGAAAAAAAUAAAUAACAAGAGGUUAAAAGGCUUUUUGUAGAAGAGAGUAUUUGUACUUUGAAGUACAGACCCAAGCGUGAUACCAAUCUAAAGCACAAAAUAAUAAGAUAGCUUUGCUGUCAUCCACUUAGUGGGACAAAGCAUUCAACCCAUGGUAAAUUGCAUCCACUCCCUCCUUGUCUUUUCUGUUCUCACAUGGACUAAAAGCAUCCUUAAACCUCUUGCCACUCUAUCAUUCUCCUGAUUACAGCUGCAUCUAACACUGAACUUGAAACACACACCUGUACAUAAGUUUGUGGCUAAUUGCGAGACAGCACAGAGGCCUGUAAUUCCUUGACUCUUUAUAGAGGAAUGUACAUGUAUAAAAGCCUUUUGAAUUUUCAUAAGCCGCCCUUUAGAUGUGGGAUAGCAAAACACAAAAGGAUGAAAACAAGAUGCUCACCCAGUGAUUCAGCUUUCCUGCAAAGUUUUUUCUGACAGCCAUCAUAACCCUGAAAAUAAUCAUCCCAGCCCUUUUUUCCUGUGGGCUAAAAACACAUCAGCAAUGAGGAUCAUAAUGUAAGUUUUUUGUUCCCAUUAGGAAUCCAUGAAAAAGAGCUUUGCAUUACAUGGAGAAAAAAAGAAUCAUAUACAGGAAAAGAAAGUAUAUGUAUGUGUGUUGUUCUUUUUUUAAGGAAUGCUCAAUGAAGUUUGGCUUUGCUAGGGGACACACCAGCUGUCUUCAAGCUCUUUUUAUUAUGAUCUCCCUUGUACCUUAAUUGAGAAAGCAGGGUGUGGAAGUUUCAACAAAGGUUCCUCUUUGCAGUGUGCUAAUUAGGCACAGGAGUUCACAAAACCCCUCAGUUAUGAACAAUUGCCUUUCCCCAGGCUUACUUUCAUUUUCAUGCAACUGCAUUUUUACUCAUUUUCUAUUAGUUUUCCAGAGUGGACAAGAGUCAUUUCUAAAAUUAGUUUUCUAAUUAGCAAAAAAAUAAAGGGCAAGAAAAUAUGUAAAGUGGAGGGGGGUGGAGGGAAGGUAUAAUUAAAAGCACUUUAAGAUGCCUGUGCUUCUUCAGUAUACAGGAGCCCAAGGUGUUUUCAGAUCACUGUGAAGUCUCCUUUAAAAAUCUAGAUUAUGCUCCCCUGGAAUUGGCUCCAGCUGUGUAUAAUGGGGGUUUGUGUGCCCUGAACUGAGUGCUACACUCGCCCCUGCAGGAGGAAGAGCCAGAGGAAAGCAAGAGGGGCUGUGAGCUCUAAUUCCUCCAGAUCUUCUCCAUUCAUUCCACUGGCAAAGCAAAAUUUGCUUUAGAAAGAGGGCCCUGCUUGGCCUUCAGGAUAUCUUUUUGCCUGCCAGUGGCCUGGCUGGCCUCUCAGUGUGUGCUCAGACCCAGAGGCACACACAGCUGGGAAGGGAGAGGCCUCUGCCCUCCUCCCUGCCAACGCGAUGCUUCCUCCUGAUGGCAAUGACCUCACCUCUUGGCAGCGAGCUGUCCCAUCCCGUCCCACAGAGGAGCCAGCCACCCUGGCACAAGCACCCCUCCUCCUCCCUCUGCCUCCUGGCAAGGGAAGGGAGAAACUCAGGGCUUGGGACAGUCCUUCUGCCCUAAAAAGAGGCAAUCCCAAUGAUGGAAAACUGUAUUGCAAGGACAGCUGCCACCUUAAUGCUAGAUGUUUUACGCCCUGCAUUGGCAUGAAACCUUUCACACUGCUGCUCUCUGAUCUUGUUCUCUGUUGAAUUUCUGGAGAAAGGUCAAGCAAGGCAAUACUAACCCACAUAUCAGGCGAACCAUGUUAUGAUUCAGUCUCCAGUCACCAUCAUACUUGUCACCUGUGAUAGUCCUGUUUGCCCAGGACCUUUACAAUGUAGAAGACACCCAGAUAUUCAAGGAUAGAUGAAGGGCUACAUCUGCAUUUCCUGAAGGUUGCUUUUGCAUCCAAGGAGCUGCCUAGAAAGCAGGAGAGCAGUGUUUAUGUGGGACUGGGGCGAGUUGCUCAAGCUACAGUCCCAAAAGGGUCUGUGUGUCCCAGCCUGCCAGCAGACCUGGAAAACACCAUGAAGGAGAAAACUCGUAAUUCUCAGUGGCAGCUUCCCAAGCAUAGCAGUUCUCACUGGGAACAACCUUGCCUCUCCUCUCUGGAAGAGGCUGAGGAUAGUCUAGUGAAGAUACCUAGUGAAGACAGGCAUUCACCACUUUAUUG